UACGUAGGGUGCAAGCGUUUAAUCGGAAUUACUGGGCGUAAAGCGUGCGCAGGCGGUUAUGUAAGACAGAUGUGAAAUGCCCGGGCUUAACCUGGGAACUGCAUUUGUGACUGCAUGGCUAGAAUCUGGCAGAGGGGGGUAGAAUUCCACGUGUAGCAGUGAAAUGCGUAGAUAUGUGGAGGAACACCGAUGGCGAAGGCAGCCCCCUGGGUCAAGAUUGACGCUCAUGCACGAAAGCGUGGGGAGCAAACAGG
rnacentral:rRNA from 1 species